AACGUACGCUGGCGGCACGCCUAACACAUGCAAGUCGAGCGAGGUAGCAAUACCUAGCGGCAGACGGGUGCGUAACAUGUGGGAAUCUGCCUUUUGGUUCGGAACAACACGGGGAAACCUGUGCUAAUACCGGAUAAGUCCUUACGGAGAAAGUUUUAAUGCCAAAAGAUGAGCCCGCAUUUGAUUAGCUAGUUGGUGAGGUAAAAGCUCACCAAGGCGAUAAUCAAUAGCUGAUUUGAGAGGAUGAUCAGCCACACUGGGACUGAGAUACGGCCCAGACUCCUACGGGAGGCAGCAGUGGGGAAUCUUGCACAAUGGGCGAAAGCCUGAUGCAGCGAUGCCGCGUGAGUGAAGAAGGCCUUUGGGUUGUAAAGCUCUUUUGUCGGGAAAGAUAAUGGCUGUACCCGAAGAAUAAGGUCCGGCUAACUUCGUGCCAGCAGCCGCGGUAAUACGAAGGGACCUAGCGUAGUUCGGAAUUACUGGGCGUAAAGAGUAUGUAGGCGGCUAGAUAAGUUAAUUGUGAAAGCCCAAAGCUUAACUUUGGAAUUGCAAUUAAAACUAUUUAGCUGGAGUAUGAUAGAGGAAAGCGGAGUACAUAGUGUAGAGGUGAAAUUCGUAGAUAUUAUGUAGAACACCAGUUGCGAAGGCGGCUUUCUGGAUCAUUACUGACGCUGAGAUACGAAAGUAUGGGUAGCGAAGAGGAUUAGAUACCCUCGUAGUCCAUACCAUAAACGAUGAUUAUUAGAUGUGGGGAAUUAUUUCUCUGUAUCAUAGCUAACGCGUUAAAUAAUCCGCCUGGGGAGUACGACCGCAAGGUUAAAACUCAAAUGAAUUGACGGGGACCCGCACAAGCGGUGGAGCAUGUGGUUUAAUUCGAAGCAACGCGCAGAACCUUACCAACCCUUGACAUGUUCGUCGCGAGACUAAGAAAUUAGUCUCU
rnacentral:rRNA from 1 species